rnacentral:misc_RNA from 1 species
AAUUAGCCAUGAUUUUGGACUUUAUGCGGCACAGUUUCUUUCACAUUUAAUUGCCAUAAAACCACUUUCCUCCAUGUCAGAUGUUUCAGCAACUUGAGCUUGCUAAGUUUGUUGGUCAGAUUUGGUCUUGCACACUUUUUCAACAUGCCCAAACUGCUUGCAUGAUCUGCAUUGCACUCCAGGCCUAUACCAACAGUAAUUUUCAGAAUGUCCCUUUUUGUUGCAAUGUGUACAAGGCAGGUACCUUCCUUUUCUGCCCUUCCCUUUGUUGCCUUGAUAAUCUUUCUUCUCAUGUUCCUUUUUAUAACCAGCAGGCUUCUUUCCUCCUCCACUUAACUGAGCUUUGCCCUUUUAACUAGCAAGUAGAGCACUU